rnacentral:rRNA from 1 species
AUUGAACGCUGGCGGCAGGCUUAACACAUGCAAGUCGAGCGGUAGCACAGGGGAGCUUGCUCCCUGGGUGACGAGCGGCGGACGGGUGAGUCAUGUCUGGGAAACUGCCUGAUGGAGGGGGAUAACUACUGGAAACGGUAGCUACUACCGCAUAACGUCGCAAGACCAAAGAGGGGGACCUUCGGGCCUCUUGCCAUCAGAUGUGCCCAGAUGGGAUUAGCUAGUAGGUGGGGUAAUGGCUCACCUAGGCGACGAUCCCUAGCUGGUCUGAGAGGAUGACCAGCCACACUGGAACUGAGACACGGUCCAGACUCCUACGGGAGGCAGCAGUGGGGAAUAUUGCACAAUGGGCGCAAGCCUGAUGCAGCCAUGCCGCGUGUGUGAAGAAGGCCUUCGGGUUGUAAAGCACUUUCAGUGAGGAGGAAGGUGGUGAACUUAAUACGUUCAUCAAUUGACGUUACUCGCAGAAGAAGCACCGGCUAACUCCGUG